rnacentral:rRNA from 1 species
GACGAACGCUGGCGGCGUGCUUAACACAUGCAAGUCGAACGGAAUCCAUGGUGUAGCAAUACACCGGAAGAUUUAGUGGCGAACGGGUGAGGAUCACGUGAGAAACGUGCCCCAGACUCUGGGAUAACAAUUGGAAACGAUUGCUAAUACCGGAUGACGUCGGAGAAUCGCAUGAUUCACUGACGAAAGAUAUUUCGGUUUGGGAGCGUCUCGCGGCCUAUCAGCUUGUUGGUGGGGUAAUGGCCUACCAAGGCAACGACGGGUAGCUGGUCUGAGAGGAUGAUCAGCCACACUGGGACUGAGACACGGCCCAGACUCCUACGGGAGGCAGCAGUGGGGAAUCUUGCGCAAUGGGCGAAAGCCUGACGCAGCAACGCCGCGUGCGGGAUGAAGGCCUUCGGGCUGUAAACCGCUUUCAGCAGGAACGAAAAUGACGGUACCUGCAGAAGAAGGAGCGGCCAACUACGUGCCAGCAGCCGCGGUGACACGUAGGCUCCAAGCGUUGUCCGGAUUUAUUGGGCGUAAAGAGCUCGUAGGCGGUUGAGUAAGUCGGGUGUGAAAACUCUGGGCUUAACCCGGAGACGCCAUCCGAUACUGCUCUGACUAGAGUUCAGGAGGGGAGUGGGGAAUUCCUAGUGUAGCGGUGAAAUGCGCAGAUAUUAGGAGGAACACCGGUGGCGAAGGCGCCACUCUGGACUGAAACUGACGCUGAGGAGCGAAAGCAUGGGUAGCAAACAGGAUUAGAUACCCUGGUAGUCCAUGCCGUAAAC